UACGUAGGCAGCGAGCGUUGUUCGGAAUUACUGGGCGUAAAGAGUGUGUAGGCGGUGUUCCCAGUCUGUUGUGAAAUCUCCCGGCUUAACUGGGAGGGUGCAGCGGAAACUAGAAUGCUAGAGGGUGGGAGAGGUAAGCGGAAUUCCUGGUGUAGCGGUGAAAUGCAUAGAUAUCAGGAGGAACACCUGUGGUGUAGACAGCUUACUGGACCACUUCUGACGCUGAGACACGAAAGCGUGGGUAGCAAACAGG
rnacentral:rRNA from 1 species